rnacentral:rRNA from 1 species
CCGGGGAUGUCCGAAUGGGGUAACCCAGCCGGGGUAAUGCCCGGCUUCGCCGGCCUGAAUUCAUAGGGCCGGUUUGAGCCAUACCCGCUGAAGUGAAACAUCUCAGUAAGCGGAGGAGAAGAAAACGACUGUGAUUCCGUCAGUAGUGGCGAGCGAAAGCGGAAGAGCCUAAACCGGGGGGCUUGCUCCCCGGGGUUGUAGGGCUGCGAUAUGGGAUCCGGACGGUUAGGCGAAGCGGAUGGAAAGCCGCUCCCCAGAGGGUGAAAGGCCCGUAACCGAAAACCGAAAGGACCCUAGCAGUACCCUGAGUAACGCGAUGCACGUGAAACUUCGCGUGAACCCGUCCCGACCACGGGAUAAGGCUAAAUACUCUCUGGUGACCGAUAGUGGACAAGUACCGCGAGGGAAAGGUGAAAAGAACCGCUGUGAGCGGAGUGAAAGAGAACCUGCAACCGUGUGCCGACAAGGUGUCAGAGCCCCGCAAGGGGUGAUGGCGUGCCUUUUGCUUAAUGAGUCUGCGAGUUAUUGUCUGUGGCGUGCCGAAGGACUUCUGGUCCCGAGGCCCAGCGAAAGCGAGUCCGAAAUGGGCGAAUUUGUCGCAGGCAGUAGACCCGAAGCGGAGGUGAUCUACCCAUGGUCAGGAUGAAGUCCCGGUAACACGGGAUGGAGGUCCGAACUGGUGAGCGUUGAAAAGCUCUCGGAUGAACUGUGGGUAGGAGCGAAAGACUAAUCAAACCCCGUGAUAGCUGGUUCUCCCCGAAAUAGCUUGAGGGCUAGCCUGGCGUGCUGACCCAUGGAGGUAGAGCACUGGAUGGACGAGGGCCCAUACCCGGGUACCGAAUCCAAUCAAACUCCGAAUGCCAUGGGGCGCAGCGCCGGAGUCAGACGGCGGGGGAUAAGCUUCGUCGUCGAGAGGGAAACAGCCCAGACCGUCAGCUAAGGUGCCUAACGACCGCUCAGUGGAAAGGAUGUGGGAUUUCUUAGACAGUGAGGAUGUUGGCUUAGAGGCAGCCAUCAUUUAAACAAAGCGUAACAGCUGACUCAUCGAGAGAUCCCGCGCCGAAAAUGAUUGGCGAUCAAGCGGUCGACCGAAGCUACGGACUCCAUCCCGGUUCGCCGGGGUGGAUUGGUAGGGGAGCGUUCUGUACGCAUCGAAGCGGAAGGGAAACCGACCGUGGAGUGUACGGAAGUGAGGAUGCAGACAUGAGUAGCGAUCAUCCCGGUGAAAUUCCGGGACGCCGUAAACCCAAGGUUUCCUGGGGAAGGUUCGUCCUCCCAGGGUUAGUCGGGUCCUAAGUCGAGGCCGCACGGCGUAGACGAUGGGCAGCAGGUUCAAUAUUCCUGCACCACCGACAUUUAACCGAUGUUGACGCAGAGACGGAGAGGGGCGAGGUGUUGAACGUCCUUGUCCCGCAAGGGGACGCGGAGGCCACGGCCGAAGCGGAUUCCUCAAAGUCCCUGCCGAGAAAACACAUCGGGUAUACUAAGGUGCCCGUACCGUAAACCGACACAGGUGGGUGAGUAGAAUAUACUAAGGUGCGCGAGUGAACCCUCUUCAAGGAACUCGGCAAUCUAACCCCGUAACUUCGGAAGAAGGGGUGCCCGUCGCAAGACGGGUCGCAGAGAAAUGGGCCUACCGACUGUUUAGCAAAAACACAGCACUCUGCUAAGUCGUGAAGACGACGUAUAGGGUGUGACACGUGACCAAUGCCGAAAGAUUACGGUGAGAGGUCACCCAGCCCAUUCAGUCACAGAAAGGAGUUGAGAUCAUGUUCUAUGUGUAUGUGCUCAAGGGGCCGCGCGAGCGGGAUCUUUAUUUCGGCUACACCGCCGAUCUGAAGGCCCGGUACGCGAGCCACCAGCGGAUGCCGCGUCAUCGCGGUUGGAAGCUGGCGUAUUACGAGGCGUACCAAGACAAACGCGAUGCGAUCGAGCGGGAGCGCCGCCUGAAACAUUACGGUUCAGGUCGGGGCCGGCUUAAAAAACGCAUUGCCCGGUCUCUCUCCGAGGGUGGUUGAAUGGGCUGGGGAAGCUUCGAACCCAAGUCCCGGUGAAUGUCGGCCGUAACUAUAACGGUCCUAAGGUAGCGAAAUUCCUUGUCGGGUAAGUUCCGACCUGCACGAAUCGUGUAACGAGUGGGCCGCUGUCUCGAAGAGGCGCUCGGCGAAGUUGUAGUGGCGGUGAAGAUGCCGCCUACCCGCAGUAGGACGGAAAGACCCCGUGCACCUUUACUGUAAGCUGUCGCUGGAUUUUCGUUCGGAAUACUUAGCGUAAGUGGGAGACGUUGAUCCUUGGGUUUCGGCCUAAGGGGAGUCGCCAAUGAAACACCACCUUUUCUUCAUGAAGAUUCUAACCCUUGCCCGUGAUCCGGGCGGGGGACCACGGCAGCGGGUCAGUUUGACUGGGGCGGUUUCCUCCUAAAGAGUAACGGAGGAGUGCUAUGGUUCCCUCAGCAUGGUUGGCAAUCAUGCGUCGAGCGUAUGGGUAGAUGGGAGCCUGACUGCGAGACCUACAAGUCGAGCAGGGACGAAAGUCGGCCCAAGUGAUCCGGUGGUUGAAUGUGGAAUCGCCAUCGCUCAUCGGACAAAAGGUACGCCGGGGAUAACAGGCUGAUCGCGCCCAAGAGUUCAUAUCGACGGCGCGGUUUGGCACCUCGAUGUCGGCUCAUCGCAUCCUGGGGCUGGAGAAGGUCCCAAGGGUCCGGCUGUUCGCCGGUUAAAGCGGUACGCGAGCUGGGUUCAGAACGUCGUGAGACAGUUCGGUCCUUAUCCACUGUGGGCGCAGGAAAUGUGACGGGUUCAUUCCCUAGUACGAGAGGACCGGGAAUGACGCACCUCUGGUGUUCCGGUUGUCGCGUCCGCGGCAGCGCCGGGUAGCUAUGUGCGGAAGGGAUAAGCGCUGAAAGCAUCUAAGCGCCAAGCCCAUCCGAAGAUGACAUUUCCCCAUUAGGGACGUGGUAGACCACCACGUUGAUAGGUCGCGAGUGGAAGCACGGUAACGUGUUAAGCUGAGCGAUACUAAUUUCCCGAUUGGCUUGAUCUC